CUAAACCCAGCUGGAACUGGUCUGAGGCUGCGCCGGCCCUGCGAGUGCGGUUUUAAGGGCUUGGCGGGAACGUGCGUGAGGCAGCAGCUUCUUGCUCGGGAUGAGAAAAUUAUGGCUCAGAAAGACACAGCUUGUCUGCAUUUAAACAGCUGGUUGACAGAUUGGCUGGGACUUCGUUUUUGUCAUCAAAGUCAGUGUUCUUUAAGAAUGGGACAUUGGAGAAGAAGAUGAGAAAAGUAUCUCGCAACCCACUGAAUACAGCCGUUACCACUGGGAACUUUGUCUCAUCCAUCCGAUUUUCUGAACUCAUCUGCUUCUUAUGCUGCUAGUCUUCAAGAGAUCCAUUCAUCAGUUUAAAAAUGGAAGAUUGCAAAGCAUUUCACAGCAGAGAUUCCCCAGCCCACCAUCCUUCCGGAAAUGCAAAUGGACAGGAGGUCACAGAACACACAACCCAUUAGCCUGACUGACUCACCUUGAUGUUGCUGGUCCUCUGGAAUCUUCAGUCUACAGGUGCGCAAACUGUUGAACAGGUGGCUGCUGCCCUUUCUUUGUAUGGUAGACAUGGUACUGGCAGUACGGCUGUGGCCCCAGUAUCAGUAGGGUAUUCCUUCCCUUGGCCAGUCACCUAGAAUGGUCUUCACACGAUACCCAGAACCACAGAG